AAAUGCGAUAAGUAAUGUGCAUUGCAGAAUUCAGUGAAUCAUCGAAUCUUUGAACGCACAUUGCGCCCGCCAGCACUCUGGCGGGCAUGCCUGUUCGAGCGUCAUUUCAACCCUCAGAACCCCUUGCGGGAUCUGGCGUUGGGGAUUGGCAUCCAGCCAGCCCCGAAAUCUAGUGGCGGUCCCUCCGCGACCUCCCCAGUGCAGUAGCGAUACCUCGCAGCGGGACAGCGGUCUGACCACGCCGUAAAACCCCCAACUUCUCAAGGUUGACCUCGAAUCAGGUAGGAAUACCCGCUGAACUUAAGC
rnacentral:misc_RNA from 1 species